CGUUGUGAAGGUAACAUAUACGUCCCUCUCCCUCUCUCUCUCCCUCCCUCCCUCACACACACACACGCCCUCUUACGGAACACAGUAACCAACACAGACGCACGCCACGCCCACGCCCCCUCGCCAGCUGGUAUGUAAGAAUCAAAUGAAGCGGCGUGGACAGCAAUACAAGGAAGAACCAACAGUGUAAAUUAUGUCAACCCAAAAUCUGCUCUAAAACAAAGAAGAACAAGAGACCAGAGAAAAGGCAAUAUCCUAAGUCCUUCAAAUGACACUACAAUCCAUGAGUGAGUGUGUGAAGUAAUUGACCUUGAUGCAGUUCUCACGUGCUGCAUAUUGCGUUGUAGGGGUCUCUUGUGGUGCCCUAUAGUUUUUGGCCCCAGCUCGUUAGUGAAGCGGGCGAAUUUUAUUUUGAGUGGCUGCCGUGAUAUACUGUAUGUGGUGAGGCAAAGGUCGCAGUGUAAGUGAAGGGAAGUAAAGGAAAGAGAGACAGUAAGUGGCAGAAGAAACCUAGAAAGAGUGAGACAGAGUGAGUUUGCAUCGAAAGAAGGAUGAAGUAGAGGAAGAAAAUUUUAAAGAGAAAAUUAAAAGUGAUAAAAGACGAGGUGGAAGUUAAAAAAGAAGAGAAACGGAAGUGACAAAAGCGACAGACAGUGAAAAAGUGAUUGUGACGAAGAAAAGAAGGAAAAAAAGUGAAUUUGCAUUGACGGAAGGAUAAAACACAGGUGACAACAAAGAAAGACAAACGAGAACUGAUAAAAUACAGACAUAGAAAGAGACACAGAAAUACAGAAGAAGAAACAAGCAAAAGGAGACAAGUGAUACAUAAAUAGUCGGGCCAAUGAUGAUGUCCUCGCCAAAAUCCCCCAAAUCGGCCUUGAGCAAGAUUGGCUUGGGUCGACCACGGCCUCUACGCAUUCUCGUGCUGGGGCAAACCUCGGUGGGAAAGACAGCGCUGGUGGUUCGGUACAUCACGCGGCGGUACAUCGGGGAGUACGACUCGUGCCAGGAGCGCGUCUACUCACACACGGCGAUAGUGGACGCCGACACGCUGGCCCUGGAGAUACUAGACUCGGCGGGUCAGUCCCACGAGACGGACAGCGUGAGACUGGAGGCCAACAUAAGGUGGGCCGACGUGUUCGUGUUGAUGUACUCGGUGACGGACAAGUGCAGCUUCGACGAUUGCAACAGACUCAAGUUCCUCAUCAACUACAACAAGAGAAAGCGGCGGAUCACGAGCCCGACUUCAAAGGACGGGGCGUGGGAGGUUCCUGUGGUGCUGGUGGGGAACAAGAAGGACCAGGCGGGGGACAGGAUGGUGAGCAGCGAGGAAGGAUUCAAGCGGAGCAGAGACAUCGGCUGCCAGACCUUCCACGAGAUAUCCGUCAGAGAGAGCAUCGACGAGGUCUCCCGCGUGUUUGAGGAUGCUGUACGUUACUGGCGGGAGAUAGCCAAGGCCCCUAAGCUGCGCCGGGCAUCAUCUGACCUACCCGACCUGCCCUCAGAGCCUCAUAAGGUCCACCAUCCUCCAAUAAGCGUUCCGGGUUCCCCGGCCUGCACGCGGUCCUAUACCUUUCGUGGGUCCCGCAGGCUGUCCGUCCGCUCUCGUACGCACCCUGUCUGCCCUACUAAAAACCCCAGAGACCUGUUCUAGCUAACAUCCUCGCCCCAGUCCUUGUAUAGCUUGUCUUGGGGUGAAGCGAAGAGAGUAGAGGGAAGGGUGCGUGCGCGUAGCUGGUAUUACUGAUCUCAGGAGUGGUGUGUGUGUGUGUGUGUGUGUGUGUGUUUAUAGUAAAUGAAGCAGCUCAAGGACAAAAAAAAAAAGAGAAAUGAAAGAGUGUGAAAGAGAAUGAAAACAUAGUAAGAAGAAAAUGAAGGAAAGAAAAGAAAAGUUAACAGAAAGGGAGUAAUUUUGAACCUAGGGGAACCUCACUAUACUCAACCUGACUUUCAUCUCCCAUCAUCAAAGACAGGAGAAAAUAAUAAAACAGAAAGGGAGGCAUAUUAGACCCUAGCAGAACCUCACUUAUCUAAAAACCUCACUUCCACCUCCUCCCACCCUCAUCUCUACCUCAUAAAAAACUUCCUAUGUCCCCUUUUUGAACCUUAAGUGCCUGCUUAAAAUGCAAGAACUACUGCUGUUUUGUCAAUGUUGUCCGCCAAUGUCGUAUGUAAACUGUAUGACUUAACGCCCGUAUUGCAAACCCUCCCUUCCGUCCGAGGCCUUAGUGAGGGAGAGCUUGGAAUACGAGCGUUUGGGUGUGUGUCUGAUAUUGAUGUGAUGUGUAUACGACAAUGUCAGAAGAGAAUUAUAUAUAGAAAAGCCACGUGUCACUGUUGUCUUGUCACUGUUGUUUGCUAAUGUUUAUAUCAGUGUGACUUUGCAUACGUGUUAGUGCUGUGAUGUGUUUAAGAGAGUGGUGAUAAAGGAAUACAAAUGGAUCACUGAACUUGAAGAUGGCGUUGUUAUUACUGCAAAACAUAGUGAUGGUGGUGACGGUGGUGGUGGUGAUGGUGGGAAUCUUGAGGCCAAAGAUUCCCCGCCUGAGUCCCGUUGGAUAUCCUUUGUUCUCGGGGUAAGAGGCAGGAAAGCAUCAGAGGAGGAGAGCCCCGAGAUGGAUAGCGGUCUCCUGGCCCUCCCCUUCAGAAGCCGAGCCUCCACUGACGGGCAUCUUCAUC